rnacentral:rRNA from 1 species
GACGAACGCUGGCGGCGUGCCUAAUACAUGCAAGUCGAGCGAAUCAAUAGGAGCUUGCUCCUGUUGGUUAGCGGCGGACGGGUGAGUAACACGUGGGCAACCUGCCUGUAAGACUGGGAUAACACCGGGAAACCGGUGCUAAUACCGGAUAAUCUUUUUCCUCUCAUGAGGAAAAACUGAAAGUCGGUUUCGGCUGACACUUACAGAUGGGCCCGCGGCGCAUUAGCUAGUUGGUGAGGUAACGGCUCACCAAGGCGACGAUGCGUAGCCGACCUGAGAGGGUGAUCGGCCACACUGGGACUGAGACACGGCCCAGACUCCUACGGGAGGCAGCAGUAGGGAAUCUUCCACAAUGGACGAAAGUCUGAUGGAGCAACGCCGCGUGAGCGAUGAAGGCCUUCGGGUCGUAAAGCUCUGUUGUUAGGGAAGAACAAGUACCGGAGUAACUGCCGGUACCUUGACGGUACCUAACCAGAAAGCCACGGCUAACUACGUGCCAGCAGCCGCGGUAAAAC